GUAGGAACUGUAGCUCAGUGGAAGAACCUCUGCUUUGCAUGCAGAACGUCCCAGGUUCAAUUCCUGGCAUCUGCA
rnacentral:tRNA from 1 species